rnacentral:rRNA from 1 species
UACAGAGGGUGCAAGCGUUGCUCGGAAUUAUUGGGCGUAAAGGGCAGGUAGGUGGUCUUAUUUGUCAUGGGUGAAAUCCCUGGGCUUAACCCAGGAAGUGCCUAUGAAACGGUGAGACUGGAGUACUGUAGAGGGUCGCGGAAUUCCCGGUGUAGCGGUGAAAUGCGUAGAGAUCGGGAGGAACACCAGAGGCGAAAGCGGCGGCCUGGGCAGUGACUGACACUCAACUGCGAAAGCGUGGGGAU